GGUAGUUUUCAGGGAAAACCCUGAAAGUUCAGCUUUCCUUGCCUGUGGUGCCACUGCUUCAUGCUCACAGCAGCUUAAUUCCACUGCUGUGGUGAUUUGCAUGAGCACAAGCACAAAAACCCUCAUGCAAGCUGGAAAGGCUUUACCAUUAUUUCCCCAACACUGAAAUAUGUGUCUGCAGUGUGGUGCUUUUUAGCACAGCAUCCACUCAGAUGGUGGGGAAUUCAUCACAGCCCAGGCUGAAUUAUUAAGCACCUUCAGUAUCUCCGUGUGAGCAGCUCAGCUCCUCCCCACAGCCCUCACUCUGUACCUUCAUUUUCCUCCUGGAUUCCUGCUUGGAUACUGCUUGGUUGCCCACUAAGCCCAUCAUGCCACCAUGAGACCUCAGUGUGGAGCUGCCACAUCUGCCACAUCUGCAGGGGCACUAGAUGUGGACAUCUGCAUUUAGGCACCUGAAUCAAGCCCUCAAAUUCCAGAAAGAGGAAAGAAGAUCCAUCUCCCCUAAACUGAACCACCAACAGGUAUAGCAG